CUACGCCAAAACGGACUCAACAAUUUGGUUUCACUAUGGUGUUAGCCUCAAGAUGUCAGGUCAGCCUCAGGGGUGCACCCACGGGAGAGGGGAUCCUUGUGCCCCAGAAGCCUCCUCCAGUCACCUCUCUUUUUGGACACUCCUUUGACCUCUAUUCAGGAGCAGUAAGUAGCAGGCUUUUUUUAUAUAUUUUUCUUUACGCCAUUGAACUGUCUCCUUAGCUGUAAAAAACAAAACAAAAAAAAAAGUCAGGUCAGUUUACUUGACCUGACCCCAACACCACGCUACCUUCCACCUUGCCACUUUUCCUAAUGGUAGCUACCCUAAUAUUUUGUGCUGGCUGCAUCAGUGACUCGCCAGGUUCCACACCCCCGGGGCUCACAGUUCCCCUGAAGACCCCCGGCCUGGCUCCCCCAACACUCCCCACACCCUAGACCCCAACACUCACUGAGGUCGGUAUUAUAAGACUUUCGCUUCUCACAUCAGCUAUUUCUAACGGUCAAAGAGUGAAUCAGUCGGGUUCUAAUGAGUGUUCCUUGAGGUUCACGGUACAGAGGAAGGGUCAAACUACCACCAGGAUCAUAGAACUGCUACUGGAAAUGCCCGAAACUCCUAUGAAAGCCUUGUCGAAUAUGUGAACUUGGGCGACUAAAUGAUUUAAAGGUCAAAGAUGGAAUCAGUCGGGUUCUAAUUAGUGUUCCUUGAGGUUCACGGUACAGAGGAAGGGUCAAACUACCACCAGGAUCAUAGAACUACUCCUGGAAAUGCCCAAAACUCCUAUGAAAGCCUUGUCGAAUAUGUGAACUUGAGCGACUAAAUGUUUUAAAAUAUGACCCUCAUUCUCUGGGUGUGCCCCCGAGUCUAUGCACUGUGUUGUCAGGCAAGUCCGAACCAACACCGGCACAGACGCUGACCUCCGACACAGCCGCCAGACAUGAAAUCAGUAUUUGCAGCGGCAUUUUUUCGGAAUACGUUGUUGUAUUUCAAAGGAAGGAAAUUUUUUCAGCAACACACAUGCACACACUGACCGGGAAAAAGAGACACUUAACCCGGCAGCAGCGGGGAUCGUGUUUCUUAAUGGUCCCUCUAAGCGAGAAAAAUGAGAAAAAAAUCACCCCUCACACAAACCAUUUCAUAAUAUAUAUCAAAGGAUUUGUGAUCAGAUUAUAUAUCAUCUAUUUUUGGGGGGUUUAUAUCAUGGCACAAAUUUGGCCCGUCGCUGCUACACGGUAAAGCCACAAAUUUGGCCCGUCGCUGCUACACGGUAAAGCCACAAAUUUGGCCCGUCGCUGCUACACGGUAAAGCCACAAAUUUGGCCCGUCGCUGCUACACGGUAAAGCCACAAAUUUGGCCCGUCGCUGCUACACGGUAAAGCCACAAAUUUGGCCCGUCGCUGCUACACGGUAAAGCCACAAAUUUGGCCCGUCGCUGCUACACGGUAAAGCCACAAAUUUGGCCUGUCGCUGCUACACGGUAAAGCCACAAAUUUGGCCCGUCGCUGCUACACGGUAAAGCCACAAAUUUGGCCCGUCGCUGCUACACGGUAAAGCCACAAAUUUGGCCCGUCGCUGCAACACGGUAAAGCCAAAAAUAUUAAUGAAUUUGAAGCUAAACUUGAUGAACGGAGAUUUGGAGAGAGGACUCGCCCGUGUAGCUGCUUCCUGUAUAUCACAUUUGGUAAAUACACACACACACACACACACACACACAUGUAAAAUAUUGACUUUCACACUUCAUGAUUACAUUUUACACUUCCCCCAAUGCAGUGAGAUGUGUGUGUGUGUGUGUGUGUGUGUGUGUGUGUGUGUGUGUGAGUGAACAUUUCCCUGACUCACAGAUGGACUGCCCGAGGUGUUCCGUGUGUUAAGUGUUUCCUUGCAUGGGUCAAAGUUUACCGUCUCUCGACACCGCACAAAAAGUUUACAGCAGGACACAAGAUUUUUAGUGAUUUCAAUUAAUUAAUAAAAUGUAUGGAAAGAGAAGACAAUAUUUAUGCAUUUUGGUGUGAGAGGAAUGGAGGAAAAAAUGGAGAGAGAGAGAGAGAGAGAGAGAGAGAGAGAGAGAGAGAGAGAGAGAGGGGAAUGGAGGAAAAAAUGUGGAGAGAGGGGAAUAGAGGAAAAAUUGUGGAGAGAGAGAAAGGAAUGGAGGAAAAAAUGUGGAGAGAGAGAGAGAGAGAGAGAGAGAGAGAGAGAGAGAGAGAGAGAGAGAGAGAGAGUGUAUCCCUAAACCGUAGCCCAUAGUAUUGCAUAAGUAAAGCUAAUUCAAAGCAGUAGUUCCGUUAACACAUGCUCCCUCAAUGCCCUGUUUUAACCGCUAUCGGAAGUGGCAGAACAACAUGGUCACGGCAGAUUAGCAUUUCAGUCCCCUCCCUUCCCUUCCCCUUUUUAUUUAUUCAUUUAUUUAUUUAUUUAUUUUUAAUCUCCACCCAAUGUAGCCAUGACAGAUUAGCAGAUCAGACCCCCCUCCCCCUCUCCCCCCCUUACUUUUUCUUUUACAUUCUCCACCCUCUGAAGUUUUGGCUUUUUGUGAUUUUUUUUUCUCAUCAUCAGAUUUUUAUUUAGUCUUGGAUUCCGUUCAACACCCUAAUGGACGUUUCUUUAUGACCAGUCCCCCGUCUCACUGUUUUGACGCCUCGUAAAAUCGCUCCUUCCUCCGAACCCAAGUUUUGAGAUGCUAAGUAAACCAGUGGAAUCAUGGGCUAUUGUGGAUCAUUAGCUAUCGUGGAAUCAUUUAUUGUGGAAUUACGUGGAAGCGUUCUGGGCCGCUGAUUAUGUUCCUGCCUUGAAACACCUUUAUUUUAGCUUUUUUUUUGUCCCAUCCAGCUUCCGUUCCACCUUGUUUCUCCUCUCAUACAAAUCUCCCCAUGCCGCUGCCCUCCCUGUGGUGCUGUGUCUACCGAGGUGUUAGGUAGUGAUGUGGUGUGUGUUGUCGAGGGUCCUGCAUGUCGGUGUGUUGCGUGCCUAGUCUAGUCAGUGUCAGAGUGUGUGUAAGACUGGGUAGUGUGAGCCAUACAGUCCAUAUCUUUCCUUGAGGCGUCAGGUUGCGGCGUAAUGGAAAAAAAAGGCUUUGGGUUAGUUUUUACAUUUGACGCGGAUUAGAAUUUUUUUUAGAUUUUAUUGUUGUGUGAGUUGAUCGUUUGCCGUGCUGAGUGUUGGCAUCUGAGAGUUGGUCAUAAGCCUUGUGCUGUGGAUGGAGUGCAGUGCUUGUGUUGUUCUUGCACACACACACACACACACACACACACACACACACACACACCUUGUUUGCACCCUCCUUGUUUGUGGCUAAGAUGCAAUGUUUAGGCCUAUGGUAAUGACUCAUAGCAAAAGAGAAGAUGGCGCCACUAUAAAUACUUGCCUGCGCCAUGACGGGCUGGGGCCAAAUACCAUCCAGGCUCCUCAAGCAGACCUACCAGCGCAAUAGGCGGAGACGUAAAUAAAAAAAAAAUACUAAAAAACCUCAGUCCCGGCCACUGCUGAGGAAGAAGCUGAUUGGAUGGGUUGAUGGAAUGCUUUUUGCAGCCUUGGGAAAACCUUUAAGAUCGAGGGUUAGCGGUCACAUCCACGGCAACCUCUAGUUAGGUGGUUGAGGGUGUGAGAGUCAUGUCAUGUUCGUGAGAGGCUUUGUGGACAGGGAAGUCGAAGAUGCAGGUCAAUAUUAUAAGACACACUCGCUUCCCACAUCACCUAUUUCUAAGGGUCAAAGAGGGGGUCAGUCGGGUUCUAAUGAGUGUUUCUUCAGGUUCAUGGUACAGAGGAAGGGUCAAACUACCACCAGGGUCAUAAAACUACCCCUGGAAAUGCCCACAACUCCUAUGAAAGCCUUGUCGAAUAUGUGUUCUUGGGCGGCGAAAUGUCUUGUGAUACGACCCGCGGUGUUUGUGGGGGGGACAUGAAGUUUUGGAGUGAAUUGUUGCACUUUUGAGUUGAUGUUAGAAUGUUGUGUGUGAGAUGAUGUUUGCACAGUGUAGAAGAGUGUGUGUGUAUGCAUGUGUGUGUGUGUGUGUGUGUGUGUGUGUGUGUGUGUGUGUGUGUGUGUGUGUGUGUGUGUGACUGCAUUUGUGGACAUGAAGUAUUGGAAUGAAUUGUUGCACUUCUGGGUUGAUGUUAGAAUGUUGUGUGUGAGAUGAUGCUUGCACAGUGUAGAAGAGUGUGUGUGUGUGUGUGUGUGUGUGUGUGUGUGUGUGUGUGUGUGUGUGUGUGUGUGUGUGUGUGUGACUGCAUUUGUGGACAUGAAGUAUUGGAGAAUUGUUGCACUUAUGAGUUGAUGUUAGAAUGUUGUGUGUGAGAUGAUGCUUGCACAGUGUAGAAGAGUGUGUGUGUAUGCAUGUGUGUGUGUGUGUGUGUGUGUGUGUGUGUGUGUGUGUGUGACUGCAUUUGUACAUACAUUUGUAAAUAUAGUAUAUGUAGACUACUUAAUCAAGACUCCCUGCAAUAGAACACAGGAAUACUUAAUCAAGACUCUUUUCAAUAGAACACUGGAAUAAAGAGACCAUAGUUAUUAUAUAUGAGACUAGCUUUAGUGUACAAAGGUCAAUAGCAACAGUCGACCUUAGCGGCAAUCACAGGCUUUGUUUGAAGAAUGGAGAAACAGCUGUAGAGUGCAUGCAAACACACACACACACACACACACAAGCAUAACAACACGGAACGGACUUGACGAGGAGACUGUGUGUGCAAAAACGAUUCGUGAAUUUAAAGCCAAACUGGAUAAUAAGCGUUAUGGAGACGGGACAGCACAAGCCUAGUACGACUCUUUUCCUGUAUUUCGCAACUAGGUAAAUACACACACACACACACACACACACACACACACAAUGACCGUAAGACUAAGUUCGAUAAUUGCACAUACGAACUUGAAGAUAAUGGAACGUAAGAUUAACUCAAAUUCUGUAUAAACACCCCAGCUAGGUACACAUACACACAGGGAUACAGUACACUUCAUAUCAGUCUCAUACACACACUACAGUCAGAGGUUCAUUUUACCGGAAGAAGUCAUGAAUCCCAAACCCCUUUCACAGUUUUAAAGAGAAACAUAAGACAGUUUCAAAAGACAGGACACUACGAGCUUGACGCAGUCCUGUGGAAAUGCAAUUAGCUAAGAGCAAGCAAUGGUUAGCCCGCAUCACCACUCCUUAGGGCUGACACAUCCCCCCCCAUAGACCAGAGCAGAGUAACUUAACAAUUAACGUUCCUAUGAGGCGUUCAGUGUAGAUGGGGUGACCAAACCAGUUAAUGUAGUAUUCUGUUUAAGGUGAGGUCCGCUGUAAUUGGCACGGAGUUGGCCUUCACUGGUAGCCUGGUAACGUACACUCCCAGGUCGUUCUCUGCCUCUGUGGUGGAUAGUGGAGUGUUUCCCAUGUGGUAUUGGUGUGCUGGAUAUCCCUUCACUGGUAGCCUGGUAACGUACACUCCCAGGUCUUUCUCUGCCUCUGUGGUGGAUAGUGGAGUGUUUCCCAUGUGGUAUUGGUGUGCUGGAUAUCCCUUCACUGGUAGCCUGGUAACGUACACUCCCAGGUCUUUCUCUGCCUCUGUGGUGGAUAGUGGAGUGUUUCCCAUGUGGUAUUGGUGUGCUGGAUAUCCCUUCACUGGUAGCCUGGUAACAUACACUCCCAGGUCUUUCUCUGCCUCUGUGGUGGAUAGUGGAGUGUUUCCCAUGUGGUAUUGGUGUGCUGGAUAUCCCUUCACUGGUAGCCUGGUAACAUACACUCCCAGGUCUUUCUCUGCCUCUGUGGUGGAUAGUGGCGUGUUUCCCAUGUGGUAUUGGUGUGCUGGAUAUCCCUUCACUAGUAGCCUGGUAACAUACACUCCCAGGUCUUUCUCUGCCUCUGUGGUGGAUAGUGGAGUGUUUCCCAUGUGGUAUUGGUGUGCUGGAUAUCCCUUCACUGGUAGCCUGGUAACAUACACUCCCAGGUCUUUCUCUGCCUCUGUGGUGGAUAGUGGCGUGUUUCCCAUGUGGUAUUGGUGUGCUGGAUAUCCCUUCACUAGUAGCCUG